GAUGAACGCUGGCGGCGUGCCUAAUACAUGCAAGUCGAGCGAACAGACGAGGAGCUUGCUCCUCUGACGUUAGCGGCGGACGGGUGAGUAACACGUGGAUAACCUACCUAUAAGACUGGGAUAACUUCGGGAAACCGGAGCUAAUACCGGAUAAUAUAUUGAACCGCAUGGUUCAAUAGUGAAAGACGGUUUUGCUGUCACUUAUAGAUGGAUCCGCGCCGCAUUAGCUAGUUGGUAAGGUAACGGCUUACCAAGGCAACGAUGCGUAGCCGACCUGAGAGGGUGAUCGGCCACACUGGAUCUGAGACACGGUCCAGACUCCUACGGGAGGCAGCAGUAGGGAAUCUUCCGCAAUGGGCGAAAGCCUGACGGAGCAACGCCGCGUGAAUGAUGAAGGUCUUCGGAUCGUAAAACUCUGUUAUUAGGGAAGAACAAAUGUGUAAGUAACUAUGCACGUCUUGACGGUACCUAAUCAGAAAGCCACGGCUAACUACGUG
rnacentral:rRNA from 1 species